rnacentral:rRNA from 1 species
AGUGAACGCUGGCGGUAGGCCUAACACAUGCAAGUCGAACGGCAGCACAGUAAGAGCUUGCUCUUACGGGUGGCGAGUGGCGGACGGGUGAGGAAUACAUCGGAAUCUACUUUUUCGUGGGGGAUAACGUAGGGAAACUUACGCUAAUACCGCAUACGACUUACGGGUGAAAGCAGGGGAUCUUCGGACCUUGCGCGAUUGAAUGAGCCGAUGUCGGAUUAGCUGGUUGGCGGGGUAAAGGCCCACCAAGGCGACGAUCCGUAGCUGGUCUGAGAGGAUGAUCAGCCACACUGGAACUGAGACACGCUCCAGACUCCUACGGGAGGCAGCAGUGUGGAAUAUUGGACAAUGGGCGCAAGCCUGAUCCAGCCAUACCACGUGGGUGAAGAAGGCCUUCGGGUUGUAAAGCCCUUUUGUUGGGAAAGAAAAGCAGCAGGUUAAUACCCCGCUGUUCUGACGGUACCCAAAGAAUAAGCACCGGCUAACUUCGUG